rnacentral:rRNA from 1 species
AUGCUCCAAGUCCUCGCUGUCAAGUGCCACGUCGCCACCCCUGCUUCUCCUCGAGCCCUCCUCUGCGUCGCUCGCUCAGGCCGCCAGCAACCUCAGCACGCGUGCCCGACCUCAUCACUGCGUCCAGCCAGAGGUCUUCGCCCCUUUGUCCUGCUAUCGUAUGACAUCUCAAGGGUCAUCCUCUGCCGCUGA